rnacentral:tRNA from 1 species
GGGGAGGUCAAACCAACAAGAACUGCUAACUCUUGCAUCUGAGUAUAAAACCUCAGCCCCCUUA